rnacentral:rRNA from 1 species
AGUGAACGCUGGCGGUAGGCCUAACACAUGCAAGUCGAACGGCAGCACAGUAAGAGCUUGCUCUUACGGGUGGCGAGUGGCGGACGGGUGAGGAAUACAUCGGAAUCUACUUUUUCGUGGGUGAUAACGUAGGGAAACUUACGCUAAUACCGCAUACGACCUACGGGUGAAAGCAGGGGAUCUUCGGACCUUGCGCGAUUGAAUGAGCCGAUGUCGGAUUAGCUAGUUGGCGGGGUAAAGGCACACCAAGGCGACGAUCCGUAGCUGGUCUGAGAGGAUGAUCAGCCACACUGGAACUGAGACACGGUCCAGACUCCUACGGGAGGCAGCAGUGGGGAAUAUUGGACAAUGGGCGCAAGCCUGAUCCAGCCAUACCGCGUGGGUGAAGAAGGCCUUCGGGUUGUAGAGCCCUUUUGUUGGGAAAGAAAAGCAGCAGGUUAAUACCCCGCUGUUCUGACGGUACCUAAAGAAUAAGCACCGGCUAACUUCGUG